rnacentral:rRNA from 1 species
AGUGAACGCUGGCGGCAGGCCUAACACACGCAAGUCGAGCGGCGGCGCGGGGCAACCUGGCGGCGAGCGGCGGACGGGUGAGGAAUGCAUCGGAAUCCACCCUGUCGUGGGGGAUAACGUAGGGAAACUUACGCUAAUACCGCAUACGACCGAGAGGUGAAAGUGGGGGACCUUCGGGCCUCACGCGAUUGGAUGAGCCG